rnacentral:rRNA from 1 species
CUACGGGAGGCUCCAGUGAGGAAUAUUGCACAAUGGGGGGAACCCUGAUGCAGCAACGCCGCGUGGAGGAUGACGCAUUUCGGUGUGUAAACUCCUUUUAUAUGUCAAGAAAAUGACGGUAGCAUAUGAAUAAGCACCGGCUAACUCCGUGCCAGCGAGCCGCGGUAAUACGGAGGGUGCAAGCGUUACUCGGAAUCACUGGGCGUAAAGGACGCGUAGGCGGGUUGGAAAGUCAGGUGUGAAAUCCUACAGCUUAACUGUAGAACUGCACUUAAAACUUCUAAUCUAGGGUAUGGGAGGGGGAGAUGGAAUCAGUGGUGUAGGGGUAAAAUCCGUAGAUAUCACUAGGAAUACCUAAAGCGAAGGCGAUCUCCUGGAACAUUACUGACGCUAAGGCGUGAAAGCGUGGGGAGCAAACAGGAUUAGAUACCCCCGUAGUC